rnacentral:rRNA from 1 species
UUUAAAGUCUGACCUGCCCUAUGAUAUUAAUAUUAAAUGGCCGCGAUAGCUUGAUCGUGCAAAGGUAGCAUAAUCAUUAGUUUUUUAAUUGGGAACUGGUAUGAAAGGUCGAACGAAAAAGAGGCUGUCUCGAUUUAAAUUUAAUUAGAAUUUUAUUUUUAAGUAAAAAAGCUUAAAUGAAUUUAAAAGACGAGAAGACCCUAUAGAGUUUUAUAUUUAAUUAAAGUGGGAAAAAUUUAAGAAUUUUAUUUUUUUUAUUUUUAUUUAAAUAUUUGGUUGGGGCGAUUAAAAAAUUUGAAUAACUUUUUUUAAAAUUUAUACAUUGAUAUAUGAAUAAGUGAUCCAUUAAUUAUGAUUAAAAGAUUAAAUUACCUUAGGGAUAACAGCGUAAUUUUUUUUGAGAGUUCUUAUCGAAAAAAGAGUUUGCGACC